rnacentral:lncRNA from 10 species
CCUCAUUGCCCGGGGUCGGCGGGGCCCGCCCGCUGCUCCGGGGGCGGGGCCCGCCAAGCCCACGCCCACCCGGAACUCCAGAUGGCCCGCAAGCGCCGCGCGCAGCGCCGGUUCCCGCUCGCGCCUCUCCCUCCACACCUCCCUGCAAGCUGAGGGAGUGGACUCUGGCCUUGGCCAGCCCAGAAAGGGGCUCCCACAGUGCAGCCGUGGGCUGAAGGGCUCCUCAAGUGCCGCCAAAGUGGGAGCCCAGGCAGAGGAGUCGCCGAGAGCGAGCGCGGGCUGUGAGGACUGCCAGCACGCUGUCACCUCUCAAUAACGCCCAUCCCAACGUUUCCUGAGGAAUAAUUUUGGUCGUGUUCCUGCUACUCAGCUUUUCGUGGUUCCUGCUCAUUUUCAGAGUCUAACAUUCCAGCUUUUCCGGAAAUUCUAAGUCUGCAGUGGGGAGAAGUGGUGAGGUGGUCACACACAUUCUGGUCCAUGUCCCUACCAAGUUUCUACUCUUCUUCCCACAAGGCUGCCUCUGACUUGAGGGUUCAAGAGAAGAAGAGGAAAGAGAUACUUUGAUGUAAAAGUUUUCAAAGAAAUGCUUUGGGCAGAAGAGACUCAUGGAAACUGGACACUAUAUCUGGAGCCAGGAAUAAUAGGAUCCGAGAAACAGUAACAAGUAUAAAACAAAGUGGUCUUGAACUCCUGGCCUCAAGUAAUCCUCCCCACUGGGCUUCCCAAAGUGCUGGGACUACAGAGGUGAGCCAAUACAUCAAGCCCAAUUGUUGUUUCAGUUAUGCUUGCUACACUUGCAAAGCCAAGCAAAUGUUACAAAUGUGCAAGAAAUUAGAGGUAUGGUAAGAUGUUGCUUAAUCACUAUUGGGUAAUUGUUGGACAGCUUUCAGAAUCUCUACAUUCCCCAAACCGGUUUCAGAUGAAAUUUUAGACCAGACUGCUAUGCAAUUUUACAUAGUAAUUAGUAUAAUAAUCUCUAAGCAGGGCAUUCUCCAAUUUUUACCCUCCAUCAUACUCCUCAUUUUACUCCAGUAAGAUCUUUCAAAUAAAUGACAUUAUUUCAAGUAAAUAGCAAAUAAGUUCUGUCUGGAAGAGUCCUAA